CCAUGUUGGCUAGGCCGGUCUCAAAUUCCUGACCUCAGGUGAUCCUCCUGCCACUGCCUCCCAAAGUGCUGAGAUUACAGGCGUGAGCUACCGCGCCCAGCUGGAAGUUUAACUUCUAAAUGAAUGUUCUAAGAAAAUGAAAACAGUAUUGCCCAUCUUAAACACAGUUACUGUAAGUCCUCAUUUAACAUUGUUGAUUGAUUCUUGGAAACUGUAGCUUUAAGGGAAAGGACAGCCAGUUCUUGAAUAACAUCAUUUGGUUAUAACGUUAUGAGAAAAAAAAGUUGGCUUUGUUAUAUGUUGUUUUCCUUAAAGUCACAGUUUCUAAGAGCCUGUCAGCAACAUUGAGGACUUAACUGUAUAUGAAAAUAAAUCUGGAUAUAUAUAUAUGUGUACACACACACACACACACACACACACACAUACACACACACACACACAUACUUCAUGGGUUUCUCGAGUUUCUGUCUUUCAGCAGAUGAAAAAUCUUGGCUGAUUUUGCUUUUCUGAUAAAUACUGGAAAAUGCAGUAGAACAGAAGUUCUGUCUCGUUUUAACACUGUAAAAAUAUUUGCAUUCUCAUGGUCAUAGACGGAUUUGUGGCCAAGGAACAGAAAUUAGAGGAUUUGGGCAUGUGGACUUUGAGAAGUAGAUUUUUCUCUUAGGUUUUUUAGUUUUGCUUUUCUCUCUGUAUUGUCUUACCUUAGAGUACUAUCUUAUUCGGUACUCUACUGAUGCUAUAAAUGUAGUAUUUUUAAACAUCAAUGCAUUGUAAUUUUGUUGAACUCAAAAACCCCCAAGCAUGUUAUAAAAAGGAAAGGUUAUCUAUUGAGGAUCAUUUGUCAGUUGCAAUAAGAACUGAAAAAAUUAUGGGAAAAAAUAAUAUGGUUUAGUUGGGCAGGCAGGAGAGGUCUUGCUAAUGGAGAAGCCAAAACAAGGAAAUGGUGUUAGGUUAAGCAAGUAUCAGCCACAAAGGGUGACUGCUCUAUUGCUAGCCUGACAGGUUCCACUCACUCGACACCUCUUUGAGGAAUUUAGCUCCUGGCGAUGCCCUUUCAGUAAUUAGUGCAGUGGAAAUGGUACUUAACAAACAGGGAUGGUGGCUGCAAUUUUUCAGAUGAACCCACCUGGUUUAUGAGCUGUUAGGAUACUAUCAGGGUGGUUGAGAAGAGGAAGCUUUGUUUUCUGCCUGUGCGGACCAUAUAAAGCUGAGAAGGCAUGUUUUGCCUUACCUGAUUAUUAAAAGCAAUAAAAUUUCAAAUGAAAAUAUCUGGGUUUUCUUGUGCUAAUAGGGAGAAAUUUUUUUUGUAUCAUCCUACAAGUAAUCAGUAAAGAAACUUUUGUGGAUGAACUUUAAAAAAAUAACACGCAAGUAUCUAAAUGCAAGAUUAAGCCUAAGAUACAACCGAUGGAAUGAUGUACAUCACAACAGAAAAUAAUAAAUAAGUACCAUGACUACAAUCCACAGAAAUUCAGAAAGUUACCAGGAGUGGAAAGAAAAUCAUAUGAGAAGCCUUAUAAGUCAUACUCUAAGAGCGGAGGAUGAGUAGAGUUAUUCCACAGAGAAAUAUCCUAGAUAAAUCAUAAUCAUAUGUGGACAAGAGGAUUUUAUGGAAUAGGGAGGGGAGCUUGUUUUCAUUCCCAUAUUUGCCCCAGGAUCUGUCCCAUGCCCUCAUCCCAGAGACAGCUGGAUCUUUAUAUACACAGAAAGUAGCAGAAACUUGUCUUCGUGAUAACGUACUCUUAUGGGAAAGCAGAAGUAGCAUCUUUAAGUAGUGUAAUGACUGUUAAAAGACAGGUUAUAUAGUAGUUAAGAGCAAUGACUCUAGGCCACACUACUCUUCCCUUACUAGCUGUGUGACUGUGGACAAUUCACUUAACCAGUGCCUCAGUUUCCUCAUCUGUGAAAUGCAGGUAGUAGCUACCUCAUAGCCUUGUUAUAACACCAAAAUGAAUUAAUAUAUGUAAGAGCAUUUAGAAAGUGCUGAUAAAGAAUGUGCUUUGUGUUAGUGUUCAUUACUGCAGUACUGAAGCUUAACUUUAAGGAAUCUGUUUUGUCAUAUCCACCAUCUGUGAUAAGUGCCCUUUAAAAAUAGUCUUAUACAAGGCCAGGCAUGGUGAGUCAUGCCUAUAAUCCCAGCUACUCCGGAAGCUGAGGGGAAGAUCACUUGAACUCAGGAGUUUGAGGCUGCCAUGAACUGUGAUAAUGUCACUGCACUCCAGUCUUGGUGACAGAGCAAGACCCGGUCUCUUAAAAAAAAAUUUUUUUUUUUAAUGAGUUUGGACACAUGGGUUAUAUACACACUGUAUGAGUCCAUGUGUAUAUUCACAUGUGUGACAUUCUUGACAUGACAAAAUUCUAGAAAUGAAGGACAAAUUGGUUUGUCAGAGGUUGUCAGGGAUCAGUGGGGAAGGGAGGGAGGUAGACAUGGCUGUAAAAGGGCAAUAAGAAGGAUUCUUGUGGUGAUGGGAAUGUUGUGUGUCUUGAUGAUAUCCAUAUCAAUAUCUUGGUAGUAAAGUUGUGCUCGAGUUCUAUGAGAUGUUAUUCUUAGGGAAAACUGGAUGCAGGGCGCAUGGGAUCUCUGUAUUAUUUCUUAUAAAGGUACCUCAAAAUAAAACAUUUAAUAAUAACAAAAUUGGUUUGGAAGAUUCCUAAUAGAGAAAAAUUAGCAGUGAAAGCCAUGUGUAUAUCUGAGCAGACAGAAAUAUUACGUAAAUAAACAUCAUGGAAGGAAAACUGAGCUGACCACUGACAUUUUAGUGAGAUGUUCAUGAGCCUCCAAGAAAAAAACUGAACCACUUGGGGUCAGAGGGAGGGAGAAGAUACACAAUGGCUUAAUUUCCCUAAAAACCCAUCAGACUGGUGUUCCUCAGGGGCCUUUGCUUCCCAGACUGUGAAAUGGUCUAUUUAGUUGAUGGUUUUUGGUAAAGAGAAGAAGGUAGAUGAGCAGCAACUUACAUACAAAUUACAUUCAUAAAGACAGGCCAAAGAGAAAAGAAUGUGGGGAUGACAGGUAUGAGCUACGUGCCUGUAAAUAUAGUAAUUAAAUCCAGGAGGUACUUUGUCUGACUUUUCUCUCAUCUAUUUCUUAAGCACUCCAUGCUCCAGAGUUUAUCGCUUUUACUUUAUCACUUUUACUUUGUUUGUUGAUUAUACUCCAUUCAUAUUUUCAUAUAUCACUUACUAUGGCCUUAGUUGUAUUUGUGUGUGUGUGUGUGUGUGUGUGUGUGUGUGUGUGUGUGUGUGUGUGUGUCUUCUGGAUUGUGGCCUCCUUGAGGGGAUAGCUCACUACUGUACUCGGUUUUGACUUGUUACUUUAAAGCCCAGUGUCUGUCACACAGUAGGCACUUAAGAAAUAAUGAAUCAGAUACUGACUUUUGUCAUGGCCCUGGACAGAGGAGACAUUAAUCUAGAUGCCUAUAUAAAUUAAACAGAUCAAGUAAACUGGGAAUAUUAUUGCACUAAGUGAAAUUGUGGUUAUUUUUACAAAUGAACCUUCCUGGGCUUUUCCUUUAUGUUUUUUAGUCUGGCGAAUUUUUUUCUUAGGUUUAAAAAAAGAAUUUUAGAGAAUUGAGUAAUGCAGCUAUGAAGAGAUGUCUUAUAGCAACUACUAACAGCAGUAUGGUGUCAGUCAGGAGGUAAAGGGCAAUGAGAAAAAGACAAGGAGACCACUGGAAAGGAGGUAAUUGGAAGAAUGACUUGUGUGGCCUUCUGGGUUCAAUUUCAGUCACAGAGCGUACCAUCAGACUAAAAUAGUGAUUGAAAGCACUAGUAGCAAGCUUAUAUCCUAAUGUUUGCCUAAGCAUCUCCUUGCCAAGGCACAUAGCCAUAUCCUGAUGUCCAGUAUGUGGAAGAGGUGCAGUGGAGGGAGCUGGAGGAAGAACAUUCUUCCCUGUACCCCCCUGCCAACUGCAAGGUACAGUAGAAACUGAAAUGAUGACACAGUACCUACUUUUCACCUUCUUUACUUGGGCCAGUCCUCCAGCCAUCCCAUGUGGACUUGUUAGGUACCUGCUGGAAGUUUUAUAUUUCUGGUUCUGAAUAUGUAACAGAGAAAGUAUACAAUUAAAUAUUCCCUUCCUGCCAGGCGCAGUGGCUUACACCUCUAAUCCCAGCACUUUGGGAGGACGAGGUGGGUGGAUUACUUCAGGCCCAGAGUUUGAGACCAGCCUAGGCAACAUGGCAAUACUCUGUCUCUAAUAAAAAUACAAAAAAAUUAGCCAGGUGUGGUGGCUCAUGCCUGUAGUCCCAGCUACUUGGGAGGCUGAGGCAGGAAGAUUACUUGAGCAGCCUUUGGUUUGCAUCACUUGUGUAGCCUUUAGUCUGCAGCUGAAAGCUUGAGUCCCUGGGAAGCCAUUGGUGCAACUCAUAAGGUCUAAAGGCUGAAGAAUCUGGAGUCUGAAGUCCAAGGGCAGGAGGAGCAGAAGCAGGCAUCUGGCGCGGAAAGAAGAAAGAGGACCAGAAGACUCAGGAAACAAGCUUCGUCCACCUUCUUCCUCCUACUGUCUUCCGGCUGUGCUGACAGCUGAUUGGAUGGUGCCUACCCACAUUGAGGGUGGAUCUUCCUCUCCCAGUCACCAACUUAAACAUCAGUCUUCUCUGGCAGACACACUGAGACACAUCCAGAAACAAUACCAGCCAUCUAAGCAUCCCUCAGUCCCAUCAAGUUGACAACAUAACCAUUACAGUCGAGUUAAAGGAAUGUGAUAAAACAUUAAUUGUUGAAUCUGAAUGGAGUCUACACAGGUGCUUAUUGUAUUAUUCAUUGACCUUUUCUAUGUGUUUGAAAUUUUUAAAAUAAAAAGUUGGGUAAAAACUAAAUGCUUUUUUUCCUACAGCUGGCAACAAACCAAGGGUGUGCUCUCUCAACACUCCUGUUCAGCAUCAUGCCAGAAGGACUAGCCAGCACAGGCAAGAAAAAGAAAUAGAAGGCAUAUAGAUUAGAAAGAAGAGUUGAAGGGAAAACCUUGCUUUCUAAAACUGUUGGACUUGGUACCAUGACUUUUAUUUAAAAUUGUUUGAUUUGAUGGAGAGCUAUUCCACCAUGGCUCAUUAACUUCUCCUGCUUGAUCUUUUGAUGAGUUCAUAGUCACUUGUUUCUGGUAUCAUGGUGUACUGCCAAAAUCAGCUUCCAAGUUCCUAUGUACCAGAAAUGGGAGGGGAAGAUGGGCUAUGAGGAAGUGAGAAACCGAAUCUCAGUCUUUAAAACAUACCUUUGGGGUAUGUGGGUAGUCAUCUCCUGAAGCAUAUGAUAAUUUUGUCAUGACUCCUGACUUCUGUGUGUUCUGCUGUUCUUUAAGCUGUCUUCUAGUCAAAAAAGUCUCCACAGAAGCAGCUUCUACAUUGCUAUCCGGAGGACCAAAAUCACAUUGGUGGAUGAUAACAGGAGGCCCCAAGAAGAUUUCUGAUGCCGUGUGUUUUUUGGGCAUACUGAGGAUAGAGACCUUCAAAGCUCAGGUGCACUCCUAAGAUAACUUUCCUCAUCAGCCAUUCCAGAUCUCCCAAUCUUGUGUUCCCACCAGGAGAGGGAGACUAAUGCUUAGGAAUUAUACUGCCUGGCAGUUUGUGAACAACUGACUUUUUAAAUGUUUGUAAUGUAGGACGUGACAUCUUAGGAGUAUUUCAAGCUAGAUUUAUCUCCAUAUCAAAUAAAAGUGAUGGCGUUCUCCACAAAAUUUUAAUAAUCAGCCUCUUGAACCUCAUUCUCUGUCCAUACAAUGGCUUUUCAGCAGAUGUGUUACUCCAAUAUUAUUUUGGGAUAAUUAGGAACAUAAGAAAGGAAGGGAAAAUCCCAAACAAGGUGGGAAAAUUUUUUUAAUGGGUAGCAAGAUGUUUUCUUUCUUAAAUCUUUCAUGGCACACAGUAAAAUGUCAGGAGAGGAUGAGUCUAAUCCCUGCGUAUACCCUGAAAGCAAAGCAUGAGGGGAAACCAGGGAGAAAGUACCUGUAAAACAGGGUUUUUUCAAGCCUCUUUUAUCAAUUUUUCCAGGAGGGUGUGGUAUUUUUUGUGGACAAAGGUUUUACCAACUUAAAGCUCCUUUUAAAUGGUCAAAGGAGAAACAGCAGUGAUGUGUGAGGGUUCAUUAAUUAUUGCUCUUACUGAUGUUUGCACAGGCUGUUGGGAUCAUAAAUGUCAAUCUGUCAAGAGACUGUGAUAGGCUCUAAAAAAACUGAUUGAGUACCUCAAAAGCUGUCAGAGAGCCUGAGAUUAAACAGAUUCAUCUUUCGUAGAAGUAAGGAAAGGUGUGGGUGAAGGGAAUAGCAGAAGGCUUUCUUCUCUUUGUUGCCACGUUGCUUCUCCCACUCUCUAUUCCGUAUUGUGAGUGUUGGCUUAUACAGAGGCCUAAGAGCCUGUCUGCCUGAGAUGUCAGGAAGCCACAGCCGUGCUUAGUGCCUGGGGUAUGUGCAGGCUGCCAGCUGCAGGGUGACAGGAGAUUAAGAGAGCUUGAGAUUCAGCUUUGACAGGCGUGACACAAUUUAUUUGGAAAUUUUCAGGAGAGAACAUGAGUAAUAAAGACAAGAACAGUGACAGUAAGGAACAAAUGUGAAUUUCUGCCAGAGACAAAACAGAAUUUUAAAAGAAGUAGCUCUGUUUGUUGUCUCCAGUUAAGCCUUCCAGUUAAACUGUAUUCCUAAAUUGAAAGUCCUACCACUACUUUCUGAGAUUGGCUAGGAAAGUACAAUUAGAAUUCCUCUCUUCAGAAGGUUCUAUGACUUUAAAAUCACUGUACAACCAGCCCACCAUCUAUGGAUUCAACCAACCAUAGAUUGAAAAUAUCUGGAAAAAAUAGAUGUUUGUGUCUGUACUGCACAUGUAGACUUUUUUUUUUGGUCAUUAUUCCCUAAAUAACACAGUGUAACAAUUAUUUACAUGGUGUUUAUAUUGUAUUAUAAGUAUAAUCUAGAGAAGAUUAAAGUACAGUUUGACCAACAUGGGUUUCCAUUGUGCAGGUCCACUGUGCACAGAUUUCCUUCUGCCUCUGCCAUCCCUGAAACUGCAAGACCAGACCCCAACUCCUCCUCUGUCUCCUCCUCCUCUGCCUACUGAGUGUGGAGACAAGGAUGAAGACUUUGAUGAUCCACUUCCACUUAAGGAAGAGAAACUAUUUUCUCUUUCAUGUGGUUUUCUUAGUAUUUUCUUGUCUCUACUUUAUUGUAGGGAUACCGUAUAUAAUACAUAAAACAUGCGAAAUAUGUGUUAAUCAUCUGUCAUUGUUAUCAGUAAGACUUCUGGCCAGCAGGAGGCUAUUACUAGCUAAGUUCUGAGGAAGUCAGAAGUUAGAAAAUUUUCAACUGUAAUGGGGGUCAGCACCCAAGCCCUAUGUUGUUCAAGGGUCAGCUGUAUAUGGGAGGGGGUAUGUAGGUAAUAUGCAAAUACUAUGCCAUUUUAUAUAAGGGACUUGAGCGUCUGUGGAAUUUGCUAUCCUUGGGGGUUCCUGGAACCAGUCUCCCUUGGAUACCAAGAGACAGACUGCACAGUACUUGUCUCUCUGUUGAAAAUUAAGCAGCAGCUACUUUCAAACAAAGAAAGCAAAAUAGGCAAAAUCCUUCUUAAGAUUUUCCUUCCUCAUUUAAUCACAUUAUAAUUCUUUAUCAGAGUUUCCUCUGACUAGAUCUGAUGUGAUGUCUUUCUCAUUCCAUUAAACAUUGGCAGAGAAAGCAGGGGUCUGGUGAGAACCUGGAAUGGGGGGAAUGGCACCUCUCUGUGGGGAUAUCCAUACUAGAUUAUGUUCUCAAGAAAAAGCAUACUAGAAAAAAAAAUCUGCUUUGUUGGCCCUUUAUGAAGGACCUUAAUUAGAAGUCACUCUUAACUGCUGGGGUGAGAAGGGUUUCCAGCUUGGCACCUCCUCCUGCUGCUAACGAGCAUGCUCCUUGCAAGGACUUGCUGCUUCUGACAGUUAAAGCUGCAUGUAAGAAUUACUUCUCUUCACCUCUCCCUCCAUAUUUAACCGUUACUGCCCAAGUUCAGAGUAUGCAAGUAAACAUUCGAUGUUUUUGGGAAAUUGGCAGUGCUUCAGGGUAACAUUUGUGAGCAAAAGUAAAUCAUCAUAGUUGAAUUUAUUCAAAUAUGGGUAGUAGAUGGUUCCUUUAAUGUCAACCAUGUUUGGAUCUUUUUUUUUCCCCUGAUAGUCUUUUUCUAAUUGACAUAAAUUUAUAAAUGAAUAGUUUAAUUAUUUAGUUUAUUAUCAUGUCAUUAGAACCCCUACCCUGGACAUCUGUUUCUCUUAUUUAAGCAACUCACCCCAUGGCACAAGGUUUCAUUAAGUAUUUAGCAGAGAAAGUGUAAAUUUCUUAUGCAGGCGAGGAUGAUCCUGUAGGUUACUGUUGAUAUUUCAUUAGCUUUUCAGUAAAACACUAAGUUGAUUUGUGAGAAAAUGCCAAAGAAUGGUUUGCUUCUCCAAAAAAAUUGCAUGUGUAUAGUCACCUUUCUGGACAAUAGCAUGUGGAGGAUGAUGAGCAGUUUUGGAAGCUUAUUUACCUUCCCUCUUUGUGGGAGGGAGCAUUAGAGAGCAUCUAACAGAUCAUCAACUAGGGAAGAGUAAGUGGGCAUAUUUCAGAGUUUCAAAGGUGUGGAUCUCUUAUUAGGGAAUAGAGGUCCUUGAUUCUAAAACAUAACACACUCUGUUAGACAUUUCUUCUGCCUUAGUUUAGAAUCACCUAGGACUGCCUCCUGUGGCUCAGACUUUCUAUACAUGGAUGCUUUUGGUCAUAGACUUGUACAGAUGCUGGGACAUUGAUUGUCAGAGGACUGAUUAGGGCUCAAUGGUGUUCUUUUAGGAUGGCCAGUAUAUUGUAUCCAGAAGCUGUGGUAGCAUCAGAAACCUCCUUUAGGACUCACUGUUCAAGAAUAUUCAAUGCCUGCUGCCUUCAGAACAAAUAACUCAUUGUCUUCUUAUGAAUGUGGAGUAGAUCAAGGAAAAUCUCAACAUGGGACCAUGUAGACAUUCCUUAGUGUUGCUAUUGAAUGCCCAUUGGUCAGAUGAGAUGGGGAAUUAAGAGAAAAAGAAGUCAAGACUGGACAGGCCUCCUAAUUUUGUAGGGGAGGGGGUCCCAUCAAAGUGGGUUGUUUGGUGAUGACUGAUGAUUGUGAUAUGAUGUAAAUAUGAAUUCCUCAGCCAUAGGACUCAUGUAUUUUAAAAAAAUAUUUUCUUUACAUACCUAACUCCCUUACUUAUUUGGACAUAGUUAGCUUAAGGAUAACAUUGCCACACUGAAAUUCUUUUUGUUUUUUCUUUAUUUUUUCCCCCAGCUUCAUUGCCACACUGAAAUUAAAUUAUCUUCUUACAGCAAAGGUUUGUUUUAGAAAUGGAGGUGGGUGCUUUGCAGACAGAUAGCAUGUUUGCCAGUUUGAGAUAGAGCCAUGUAGAAAGAGCUCUAAAUGUGAACUCUGCAUAUUCAGACACAGUGAUGUGAAAGAAAGGGGCUCAGGGUCUGAGCAGUCUUUUGUUACCUUACAGAUACGCUGGCAUUCUGCCAAGGCCCUCCAGAUUUUAACCAUAUUAAUAAUGAAAAGACCUCAACUGCCUCCCCAUCUUGUGCUGACACGUGCCUUCUAGUGGGAAUAACUUCCUAUAAGGAUGCUCUGAAUUUAGGACUUUGUUUCACAAAAAAACUUUUUUUGUUACAGUUUCUACUCUAGAAUUUUCUUGUUACCCCACCCCCAAAUGUCCAAAUAGGGUUAUUAAUACAAAUAGAGCCAUUACUGAUUUGUGUAAAAGGACCUCCACCCCGAGAGCAGUGUGGAUCAUACAAGGUGAAUGUCUUUCCACUGACUGCUUUGUAAUAAUUUACAUUUAAAUUGUUGCGUGUUGCUCUUGUAGAAGAAGGGAAAGGGCCUGCCCUGUGUGUGGCCAUCUUAGUCACCACACUGACUGGGUCUAGACGGCUUUACUCAGCAGAGCUGGGAAAUAGGCUGAACUUGCUUUCAGUUGUUUUCAUCAGAGGCCUUAUUUAGUUGGUUUGUGUUGGAGCACAAUGUCAUGUAGGACUGGACGAAUUAAAUGAGAUGAAAAAUGAAGUCUGUAGUUGCUAAGAAUGGUGCAGGGCCUCCAUAUGCCAGUACAGCGCAGCAAGGCUGGGGGACCAAGAUGGUCGCUGGACCGUCUUAGGUGAAGUGCUGCGUCUGCCUCACACACAGGGAGGCUAUGAAGAGGCAUACGGACAGCAUUGACUAAAAUACAUCCUAUGGGCUGUGGCUUCUCAGUAGAGCCACUUUAAGUAGAACAUGACUGCCUAGAAGACAAAUUCAUUCAUUCAGGAAAUACUUAUUGAGCCAUAGGCAUGGAGGGCACGUCAGUGAACAAAGCAGGUGAAGUUUUCCGCCCUCUUGUAGUUUACGUUCUUUUAGGGCAUAAUGUUAAAGGUAAGUGCUAUGGAAGAAUAAAAGACAGGGAAACAAAGAAGGGCAAGUGCUAGGAAUGUGGAUUUGAUGACCUAGAAGCGAUGAUCAGG